rnacentral:tRNA from 1 species
CGGGAUAGCUCAGCUGGUAGAGCAGAGGA